UCAAAACAGCGGACUUCGGUCCUUGCUUGCACCCUUGUCUUUUGCGUACCGUAUGUUUCCUUGGCGGGCUUCGCCCUGCCGGUAGGACAUACAUAAACCUUUUGUAGUUGCAAUCAGCGUCAGUAACAAAUUAAUAAUUA
rnacentral:misc_RNA from 1 species